rnacentral:rRNA from 1 species
UACGUAGGGGGCUAGCGUUGUCCGGAUUUAUUGGGCGUAAAGAGCGUGUAGGCGGCCAGGUAGGUCUGGUGUGAAAACUCGAGGCUUAACCUCGAGAUGUCAUCGGAAACCAUCUGGCUAGAGUCCGGAAGAGGAGAGUGGAAUUCCUGGUGUAGCGGCGAAAUGCGCAGAUAUCAGGAAGAACACCAAUGGCGAAAGCAGCUCUCUGGGACGGUACUGACGCUGAGACGCGAAAGCGUGGGGAGCGAACAGG